rnacentral:rRNA from 1 species
UCCGUAGACAGUAAAGUAAGUUAUUUGUUAAACCCUAAAGCUCAACUUUAGAAAGGCACUUAAGACUGCUUUACUUGAGUUUUUUUCGGAAAAGUAGAAUUCCAUGUUUAGGGAUAAUCCCCGUAGAUAUAUGGAGGAACACCAGUAGCGAAGGCGACUUUUUAGUGAAAACUGACGUUGAGGGACGAAAGUGUAGGGAGCAAACA